UACUUCGGUAGAAGGAUAUCAUGGCGGACGGGUGAGUAACGCGUAAAGAACUUACCUCUUAGACUGGGAUAACAGAUGGAAACGUCUGAUAAGACUGGAUAUAAUAUAUAUAUGGCAUCAUAUAUGUAUGAAAGGAAACACUAAGAGAGAGCUUUGCGUCCUAUUAGUUAGUUGGUGAGGUAAUGGCUCACCAAGACGAUGAUAGGUAGCCGGCCUGAGAGGGUGAACGGCCACAAGGGGACUGAGAUACGGCCCUUACUCUUACGGGAGGCAGCAGUGGGGAAUAUUGGACAAUGGAGGCAACUCUGAUCCAGCAAUUCUGUGUGCACGAAGAAGGUUUUCGGAUUGUAAAGUGCUUUCAGUAGGGAAGAAGGAAGUGACGGUACCUACAGAAGAAGCGACGGCUAAAUACGUGCCAGCAGCCGCGGUAAUACGUAUGUCGCAAGCGUUAUCCGGAAUUAUUGGGCGUAAAGGGCAUCUAGGCGGUUAAUCAAGUCGAAGGUGAAAACUUGUGGCUCAACCAUAAGCUUGCCUACGAAACUGAAUAACUAGAGUACUGGAGAGGUGGACGGAACUACACGAGUAGAGGUGAAAUUCGUAGAUAUGUGUAGGAAUGCCGAUGAUGAAGAUAGUUCACUGGACAGAAACUGACGCUGAAGUGCGAAAGCUAGGGGAGCAAACAGGAUUAGAUACCCUGGUAGUCCUAGCUGUAAACGAUGAUCACUGGGUGUGGGCAGGAAGACUGUCUGUGCCGA
rnacentral:rRNA from 1 species